rnacentral:rRNA from 1 species
UACGUAGGGGUGCGAGCGUUGCCCGGAUUUAUUGGGCGUAAAGGGCGCGUAGGCGGCCACGCACGUCCGUUGUGAAAUCGCCCGGCUCAACUGGGCGGGGUCAGCGGAUACGGUGUGGCUCGAGCAAGCUAGGGGGCAAUGGAAUUCCCGGUGUAGUGGUGGAAUGCGCAGAUAUCAGGGAGGAACACCGGUGGGCGAAGGCGGGUUCUCUGGGCAUUACCUGGACGCUGAGGAGCGAAAGUGUGGGGAGCGAACAGG